GCGGAGAUAGCUCAGGGGUAGAGCAGAAGACUGAAAAUCUUUGUGUCGCUGGUUCAAAUCCAGCUCUUGGCA
rnacentral:tRNA from 2 species